UAUCAGAUGUCACACACUAGUAAUUUCCAGAACCAAGAUUAUGAGCCAGACCUGCCUGCCUUGAAAUUCCUAGGCUUCACUGCUCUCGCAGACGCGGAUUAAACAAGUCUGGUCUAGCUGUUCGUUCUGAAGAUUAGACGAGAUCGUGACUAAAAGGGCUGUGAAAACUUCAAAGAGGAAGAGGAAAAGCCUCCUGACUGGUCUCCUUUGGGCACCGAGAGUCCCCUCUGGCUGCUCUGUGGAGGAGAGAUGUGGAAGAGUAAGAAGAAACACCUGCAGACAGAUGAAGAGGCGAUUGCAAUAAUUCAGGAAACUGAUCAUGCAGAAAGCACUGUCCUUUGAAGAUACCAUUUAAGAUCAAGCUCUACAUCUCCAAGCAAGGUUUCAUUGCUGAGGAAAAAUGUGCAACUGAAGAAAAUUCCAAUUAACCAGCAGACCCCGUGUCUCACACAUGUUGGUGUGUGUGUGCAAACAGAAUGAACAUGGACCAUUAUCCACCCAGUCUGUACACCUUGAUGUCCCUGAGGAAAAAAUUACUGAGAUUGAGAGAGAGCACAAGCAGGAGGGGCAGAAGGAGAGACGACCUCAAGCAGACUCUGUGCUUGAGAGAGCACGGAGCCAAACGAGGAGCUCGAUCUCAUGACCCCGAGUUCACGACCUGAGUGGAAACCAAGUCAGACGAUCAAUUGAGCCAUCCAGGCACCCCACAUAUACACACUUAUGUUUCAUCCUUCUUUCAUCUGUCAUCUAUCAUCAUCAUUUAUCAGGGUUUUUAUAUAUUUUAGAUGUUAAUUCCUUAUCACAUAUGAUUUGCAAUUUUUUUUUCUCAUUCCAUAGGCUUCCUUUCCAUUUGGUUUAUGGUUUCUUUUGCUGUACCAAAGCUUCUUUAUUUGAUGUAGUCCCAUUUAUUUUUGCUUUUGUUGCCCUAGCUUUUGGUGUCAAAUAAAAAAACUCAUUUCCAAAACCAAUGUCAAG